rnacentral:tRNA from 1 species
GUAGCUCAGCCUGGUAGAGCACUGUGUUCGGGACGCAGGGGCCGGAGGUUCGAAUCCUCUC